GCAGACUAUUCGAAAAUGAG
rnacentral:snRNA from 1 species